UACGUAGGGUGCAAGCGUUGUCCGGAAUUAUUGGGCGUAAAGAGCGUGUAGGCGGCCCGAUUAGUCCGCUGUGAAAGUCCAGGGCUCAACCCUCGGAUGCCGGUGGAUACUGUCGGGCUUGAGUACGGAAGAGGCGAGUGGAAUUCCUGGUGUAGCGGUGAAAUGCGCAGAUAUCAGGAGGAACACCAAUUGCGAAGGCAGCUCGCUGGGACGUUACUGACGCUGAGACGCGAAAGCGUGGGGAGCAAACAGG
rnacentral:rRNA from 1 species